rnacentral:rRNA from 1 species
UGGGCAACCUGCCCUCAGCUCUGGGAUAACUCCAAGAAAUUGGGGCUAAUACCGGAUAUGACCGCUGACCGCAUGGUCUGUGGUGGAAAGAUUUAUCGGCUGGGGAUGGGCCCGCGGCCUAUCAGCUUGUUGGUGGGGUAGUGGCCUACCAGGGCGACGACGGGUAGCCGGCCUGAGAGGGUGACCGGCCACACUGGGACUGAGACACGGCCCAGACUCCUACGGGA